rnacentral:lncRNA from 1 species
CCAUUUAUAAAAUACAAAAUCUAAAAAUAUGCUAAUUAAAAUUAAGGGAGAUGUGAAAUAUAUUUAAGGGAAAAUGAAAGAAAAUUAUAAUAAAAUUGAGGACACCAUUACUUUAAAGAUAUCAGCAUAAUAUUCACCCAGAACUGGACAUGUGAAAUUCAUUGAAAAUUUAUUUAUUUAUUUAUUUAUUUUGAUAAUGCAUGUCAAUUAUAAUUUAGGCAAUUCAAUCACCACCACACACUUUCUCUCUCUUAACCAUGAAUCACCACCCUCAUCCACCGCCGCCGUUGCCGUCGCCCCCCCCAUUGACCUGAAAACCACCACCCAAAU